rnacentral:rRNA from 1 species
AGAGUUUGAUCCUGGCCCAGAUUGAACGCUGGCGGCAUGCCUUACACAUGCAAGUCGAACGGCAGCACGGGUGCUUGCACCUGGUGGCGAGUGGCGAACGGGUGAGUAAUACAUCGGAACAUGUCCUGUAGUGGGGGAUAGCCCGGCGAAAGCCGGAUUAAUACCGCAUACGAUCUACGGAUGAAAGCGGGGGACCUUCGGGCCUCGCGCUAUAGGGUUGGCCGAUGGCUGAUUAGCUAGUUGGUGGGGUAAAGGCCUACCAAGGCGACGAUCAGUAGCUGGUCUGAGAGGACGACCAGCCACACUGGGACUGAGACACGGCCCAGACUCCUACGGGAGGCAGCAGUGGGGAAUUUUGGACAAUGGGGGCAACCCUGAUCCAGCAAUGCCGCGUGUGUGAAGAAGGCCUUCGGGUUGUAAAGCACUUUUGUCCGGGAAGAAAUCCCCUGCCCUAAUACGGCGGGGGGAUGACGGUACCGGAAGAAUAAGCACCGGCUAACUACGUGCCAGCAGCCGCGGUAAA